rnacentral:rRNA from 1 species
UCAUCAGCCGCGGUAAUACGUAGGUGGCAAGCGUUGUCCGGAAUUAUUGGGCGUAAAGGGCGCGUAGGCGGUCCCUUAAGNNNGAUGUGAAAUCCCGAGGCUUAACUUCGGGCGUGCAUUUGAAACUGGGGGACUAGAGUGCAGGAGAGGUAAGUGGAAUUCCUAGUGUAGCGGUGAAAUGCGUAGAUAUUAGGAGGAACACCAGUGGCGAAGGCGACUUACUGGACUGUAACUGACGCUGAGGCGCGAAAGCGUGGGGAGCAAGCAGGAUUAGAUACCCUGGUAGUCCACGCUGUAAACGAUGGAUACUAGGUGUGGGAGGUAUCGACCCCUUCCGUGCCGCAGUAAACGCAAUAAGUAUCCCGCCUGGGGAGUACGGCCGCAAGGUUGAAACUCAAAGGAAUUGACGGGGGCCCGCACAAGCAGCGGAGCAUGUGGUUUAAUUCGAAGCAACGCGAAGAACCUUACCAGGACUUGACAUCCCUUGCAUUACUCGUAACGGAGGAAAUCCUUCGGGACAAGGAGACGGGUGGUGCAUGGUUGUCGUCAGCUCGUGUCGUGAGAUGUUGGGUUAAGUCCCGCAACGAGCGCAACCCUUAUCAUUAGUUGCUAACAGUAAGAUGAGCACUCUAAUGAGACUGCCGGGGACAACUCGGAGGAAGGUGGGGAUGACGUCAAAUCAUCAUGCCCCUUAUGUUCUGGGCUACACACGUGCUACAAUGGGUAAAACAACGGGAAGCAAGCUAGUGAUAGCAAGCAAAUCCCUAAAAGUUACUCUCAGUUC